rnacentral:rRNA from 1 species
GGUUUCUUGUUAUAAUAUUUAAGAAAUUUAACCUGCCCACUGAAAAUUUUGAAGGGCCGCAGUAUUUUGACUGUGCAAAGGUAGCAUAAUCAUUAGUCUUUUAAUUGAGGGCUAGUAUGAAUGGUUGGACGAGGUAAAUUCUGUUUUAUAUUAAUUUAAGUUGAAUUUAUUUUUUAAGUAAAAAAACUUAAAUGUUUUUAAGGGACGAGAAGACCCUAUAGAGUUUAAUAUAUGUAGUAGUUAAUUGAGUUAUAAUUUAAUUUUUGGUUAUUAUGAAAUUUAUUUAAUUGGGGUGAUUAAAGUAUAAGUAUAACUUUUUUUGAUUUUUAAUAGUAUUUUUAGUUAAAUGAUCCAUAUUUAAUGAUUAAAAGAUUAAAUUACCUUAGGGAUAACAGCAUAAUUUUUUUUGAGAGUUCAUAUUGAAAGAGAAGAUUGUGACCUCGAUGUUGGAUUAAGAUUAGUUUUGGGUGCAGAUGUUUAAUAACUAGGUCUGUUCGACCUUUAAAAUCUUACA